UAGGGAAUCUUCCGCAAUGGACGCAAGUCUGACGGAGCAACGCCGCGUGAGUGAAGAAGGAUUUCGGUUCGUAAAACUCUGUUGUUAGAGAAGAACAGCGUAUAGAGUAACUGUUAUGCGUGUGACGGUAUCUAACCAGAAAGCCACGGCUAACUACGUGCCAGCAGCCGCGGUAAUACGUAGGUGGCAAGCGUUGUCCGGAUUUAUUGGGCGUAAAGCGAGCGCAGGCGGUCAAUUAAGUCUGAUGUGAAAGCCCCCGGCUCAACCGGGGAGGGUCAUUGGAAACUGGUUGACUUGAGUGCAGAAGAGGAGAGUGGAAUUCCAUGUGUAACGGUGAAAUGCGUAGAUAUAUGGAGGAACACCAGUGGCGAAGGCGACUCUCUGGUCUGUAACUGACGCUGAGGCUCGAAAGCGUGGGUAGCAAACAGG
rnacentral:rRNA from 1 species